UAAAUUAGUGAUUCCCAAUUCUCAGACACGGCCACAAUAUUUUAGUAAAGAAAUGCCAUUGGUUUGGCCAAACCUUUCUUUUCACUUGAUUUGGCUCUGUUUUCAGAAUGAUUUCUCUGUUUCUUUCUCUAGCAUUUCUUCCUGACAACAUUCGAUUAUAGCUUCGUGUGGAAGCGCAGGAAGCAGAAAUGGGAAUGAGAAACAUCACUUUUUGAGAUUGUUAUGCCCUUUCCAAUAUUUGAGACGGUUGGAGGGCGAGUUAAAGGGACUAUUCAUGUAAUGGAUCAUAGUUAUUCUGAGGAAAGUGAUUCAAUUGUUGAUUUGGAAAGUGGCGAGACCACAAGCGAAGAAGAUGGAAUUGAAGACUUGGAUGUGGGUGGUAAGCAUGCAAAGAAAACGUUGAGUAGGCUGAGGAGUGGAUGUAUUAGUUUUGAUGGAUCAGUGGGGGAUAUUGAUGGAUUAGAUUCAACAAAGACUGUAUUACAGCCUGAUAAGAAUUUGAAAAUAUUGGAAGGUGAGGUGGAAGGACAGGCAGCGGGUAUGGUGAAGAUGAAAAUGGCAAAUGAGAAAAGGAAAAAGGCAAGCUCGAAGAAACCUCCCAAGCCACCCCGUCCUCCUACCGGUCCGUUAUUGGAUGCAGCAGAUAUGAAGUUGGUCAGAGAAAUUUCUGAGCUUGCAAGAUUGAGGCGUGCAAGGAUUGAACGAAGGAAGGAAGUGAAGAAAAUGAGAGCAGAUAAAGCAUCAUCUUCAAAUGGUAACCUUGUUGCAUUGGUCAUCACCAUGCUCUUCUUCUUUGUGAUAAUCUUCCAGGGUAUAUUGGGCUUUCGUAUGUGAUGCCUCAAGAUGUGGCCGUCUUCAAAUUUCACCAAGUAGAUUCCUGAGUUUGCUUUAGAAGUGUUCAAGUAUUAGUCUCCACAUAUCCAGAGUCCGCAGUGAUGGUAGUUGGUGGUGAGAUUCAAGUUGAAUAGUUUAACACCCUUCUGCUAGGGGACCAAUGGUUAUGGACCUGAUUCUUGGAUCCCCAAGAUCUGAUGAAACUCUGGAUCCUGAUUUGUCCAUGUGUGGCAAAGUUAUUAAUAUUUGGUUUCACGGAAAUAUAGCCAGUUUGGCCACAGUAAAUGUUAUUAUUCCCACGGCGCACAAAGCACAUGGAGCUGGAUUCACAAGGACUCUGGUGCAGGCUCGCGGCUUCAUUUUAUGGUGAAUAUGGCGGUUCAAAGUUCUAUUGUCCUGUGGCCAGACAUGGAGGAAAGAGGAACUUUUUUCCCCUUUGUCCCCUCUUGAUGAGAGAAUGUAAUAUCUGCAUAUCAGCAGAAACUAUUCUGAUGACAUUUCUUUUACAUACAAUAAAUAUUAUCAAAAACUAUAUCAUGUACAGAUUAUAUGAAUUUUGUUGUGAACUUCAAUUUAUUUUUCUUCCAUUGUCCACAA